CGUUGGCUAGCUCAGCGGGUAGAGCACCGAGCGGAUAACUCGGCUGUCGCAGGUUCGACUCCUGUGCCAACUC
rnacentral:tRNA from 1 species